rnacentral:rRNA from 1 species
GAUUGAAGCUUGCUUCAAUUGCCGGCGACCGGCGCACGGGUGGGUAACGCGUAUCCAACCUUCCGUACACUCAGGGAUAGCCUUUCGAAAGAAGGAUUAAUACCUGAUGGUAUCUUAAGCACACAUGUAAUUAAGAUUAAAGAUUUAUCGGUGUACGAUGGGGAUGCGUUCCAUUAGGUAGUAGGCGGGGUAACGGCCCACCUAGCCAACGAUGGAUAGGGGUUCUGAGAGGAAGGUCCCCCACAUUGGAACUGAGACACGGUCCAAACUCCUACGGGAGGCAGCAGUGAGGAAUAUUGGUCAAUGGACGAGAGUCUGAACCAGCCAAGUAGCGUGAAGGAUGAAGGUUCUACGGAUUGUAAACUUCUUUUAUAAGGGAAUAAACCCUCCCACGUGUGGGAGCUUGUAUGUACCUUAUGAAUAAGCAUCGGCUAACUCCGUGCCAGCAGCCGCGGUAAUACGGAGGAUGCGAGCGUUAUCCGGAUUUAUUGGGUUUAAAGGGAGCGCAGACGGGUCGUUAAGUCAGCUGUGAAAGUUUGGGGCUCAACCUCAAAAUUGCAGUUGAUACUGGCGUCCUUGAGUGCGGUUGAGGUGUGCGGAAUUCGUGGUGUAGCGGUGAAAUGCUUAGAUAUCACGAAGAACUCCGAUUGCGAAGGCAGCACACUAAUCCGUAACUGACGUUCAUGCUCGAAAGUGUGGGUAUCAAACAGGAUUAGAUACCCUGGUAGUCCACAUUUUAAACGAGGGAUACUUUUUGUUGGCGA